rnacentral:rRNA from 1 species
UCAAGCGAACAAGGGCGCAGGGCGAAUGCCUUGGCACUGGGAGCCGAUGAAAGACGUGAUAAGCUGCGAUAAGCUUCGGGGAGCUGCAAAUAAGCAUUGAUCCGGAGAUUUCUGAAUGAGGAAACUCACCUGGGUUCAUACUCGGGUACAAUGCACUGAAAUUUAAAAUAGGUGUAUUGAGGGAACCGCCUGAACUGAAACAUCUAAGUAGGGCGAGGAAGAGACAUCAAACGAGAUUCCGUAAGUAGUGGCGAGCGAACGCGGAAGAGGGCAAACCGAGAGUAGAAAUACUUUCGGGGUACGGACUGCUUUUAAGACUCAAUCUGUUAACCGAACGGCAUGGGAAGGCCGGUCAGAGAGUGUGAGAACCACGUAGGUGAAAACGGAGAGAGCUGCGCAGGAUCCAGAGUACGGCCAGACACGUGAAACCUGGUCGGAAUACGGGGGGACCACCCUCCAACCCUAAAUACUACCCAGUGACCGAUAGCGUAUAGUACUGUGAAGGAAAGGUGAAAAGCACCCCGGGAGGGGAGUGAAAAAGAACCUGAAACCCUGUGCCUACAAGCACCUAGAGCACGUCAAUGUGUGAUAGGGUACUUUUUGUAGAACGGUCCGGCGAGCGAUUGUAUGCAGCAAGGUUAAGGACUUAAGGUCUGGAGCCGAAGCGAAAGCGAGUUUGAAAAGGGCGUUAAGUUGCAUAUAAUGGGCCCGAAACCGGGUGACCUACCCAUGGUCAGGUUGAAGUGGAAGUAAAAUUCCAUGGAGGACCGAACCGACCUCCGUUGAAAAGGCGGCGGAUGAACUGUGGGUAGCGGAGAAAUUCCAAUCGAACCCGGAGAUAGCUGGUUCUCCCCGAAAUAGUUUUAGGACUAGCCUCAAGUUAGAUACCUGGAGGUAAAGCACUGAAUAGCCUAGCGGCCGAGAGGUUAGCGAAGCUUAUCAAACUCAGAAUGCCAGAGUAUUGAUGCUUGGGAGUCAGACAGUGUCAGAUAAAUGUCAUUGUCAAAAGGGAAACAGCCCAGAUCUACAGCUAAGGUCCCAAAGUCAGGUUAAGUGGAAAACGAUGUGAAGAUACGCAGACAACCAGGAUGUUGGCUCAGAAGCAGCCACUCAUUCAAAGAGUGCGUAAUAGCUCACUGGUCGAGCGUCUUUGCGCGGAGAAUUUAACGGGGCUAAACCUGACACCGAAGCUUAGGCAAUACAGCAAUGUAUUGGGUAGGGGAGCGUUGUAUACGCGGAGAAACAGUAGCGCAAGCGGCUGUGGAGUGUAUAGAAGUGAGAAUGCCGGAAUGAGUAGCGCGAAUGCAGUGAGAAUCUGCAUGGCCGAAAGCCUCAGGUUUCUGGAGGAAGGUUCGUCCGCUCCAGGUUAGUCGGGAGCUAAGGUGAGGCCGGAAGGCGUAGCCGAUGCACAGACGGUAGAGAUUCCGUCACCACCAAAAGAGUUAAGCACAGGGACACAUUUGAAGUCUCAGAGCCGGGUGUUGGUUCCGGUAGAGAUCGAGGGAAAUUAGUACCGAAGUCUGGGAUGGAAGAUGGCGAGAAAAGCUGUGUGUAUUUCUGAGGUGCCCGUACCGCAAACCGACACAGGUAGGUAGGAAGAAGAUUCUAAGGCCAACGGGAGAAGGGUUGUUAAGGAACUCGGCAAAUUGACCCCGUAACUUCGGGAGAAGGGGUGCUCCAGAGAUGGAGCCGCAGAGAAUCGGCCCAAGCAACUGUUUACCAAAAACACAGGUUUGUGCUAAAUCGAAAGAUGACGUAUACGAGCUGACGCCUGCCCGGUGCUGGAAGGUUAAGAGGAGAUGUGCAAGCAUUGAAUCGAAGCCCCAGUGAACGGCGGCCGUAACUAUAACGGUCCUAAGGUAGCGAAAUUCCUUGUCAGGUAAG